GCCGGCAUAGCUCAGUAGGUAGAGCACCGUUUUUGUAAUUCGGGUGUCGUUGGUUCAAUUCCGACUGCCGGCUCCA
rnacentral:tRNA from 1 species